AGAAACCCAUACUCUUUGGCGGCCUUAUUUCUUAUUGAAGGAACUUGUCUAUUAAUCGAAAUUACCCGAUCAUUUUUACUCCCAUCAAGCUUUUAUACCGUCGUCUUAAGAAUAUUGUAAAAAAAAUUACCCUAACUCGAAUAAUCAAAAAAGUCAGAUCAAGGUGAAGCCUAUACGAGGAGGUUAAGAUGAGUUAUGUCUAAGUAUUACUAAAGGAUUUUUAUUGAAAAAUUACUUGAAUUAAGAUCCAACAGUACCUACAAAUUAAAAUUUUGUAGGGAAGAAGUAAAGAAAGGUGU
rnacentral:rRNA from 1 species